rnacentral:rRNA from 1 species
UACGUAGGGGGCAAGCGUUGUCCGGAUUUAUUGGGCGUAAAGAGCGUGUAGGCGGCUAGGUAGGUCCGUUGUGAAAACUCGAGGCUCAACCUCGAGACGUCGAUGGAAACCAUCUAGCUAGAGUCCGGAAGAGGAGAGUGGAAUUCCUGGUGUAGCGGUGAAAUGCGCAGAUAUCGUGAGGAACACCAGAGGCGAAGGCGGCUACCUGGACAAUUGCUGACGCUCAGGCACGAAAGCGUGGGGAGCAAAAGGG